rnacentral:rRNA from 1 species
CCUACGGGAGGCAGCAGCAAGGAAUUUUCCGCAAUGGGCGCAAGCCUGACGGAGCAACGCCGCGUGCAGGAUGACGGCCUUCGGGUUGUAAACUGCUUUUGCCGGGGACGAAUUAGACGGUACCCGGCGAAUAAGCCCCGGCUAACUCCGUGCCAGCAGCCGCGGUAAGACGGAGGGGGCAAGCGUUGUCCGGACUCACUGGGCGUAAAGAGCACGUAGGUGGCAUGAUGCGUCACCGCUGAAAGCGCUCGGCUUAACCGAGCGAGGCGCGGUGAUACGAUCAAGCUCGAGGCAGGAAGAGGUUAGCAGAAUUCCGGGUGUAGUUGUGAAAUGCGUAGAUAUCCGGAGGAAUACCUGAGGCGAAGGCGGCUAACUGGUCCUGUCCUGACACUGAGGUGCGAAAGCGUGGGGAGCGAACCGGAUUAGAUACCCUGGUAGUC